UGGGGAAUUUUGGACAAUGGGCGAAAGCCUGAUCCAGCAAUGCCGCGUGUGUGAAGAAGGCCUUCGGGUUGUAAAGCACUUUUGUCCGGAAAGAAAUGGCUCUGGUUAAUACCUGGGGUCGAUGACGGUACCGGAAGAAUAAGGACCGGCUAACUACGUGCCAGCAGCCGCGGUAAUACGUAGGGUCCAAGCGUUAAUCGGAAUGACUGGGCGUAAAGCGUGCGCAGGCGGUUGUGCAAGACCGAUGUGAAAUCCCCGGGCUUAACUUGGGAAUUGCAUUGGUGACUGCACGGCUAGAGUGUGUCAGAGGGGGGUAGAAUUCCACGUGUAGCAGUGAAAUGCGUAGAGAUGUGGAGGAAUACCGAUGGCGAAGGCAGCCCCCUGGGAUAACACUGACGCUCAUGCACGAAAGCGUGGGGAGCAAACAGG
rnacentral:rRNA from 1 species